GAUCCUGGCUCAGGAUGAACGCUAGCUACAGGCUUAACACAUGCAAGUCGAGGGGAAACGACAUCGAAAGCUUGCUUUUGAUGGGCGUCGACCGGCGCACGGGUGAGUAACGCGUAUCCAACCUGCCCACCACUUGGGGAUAACCUUGCGAAAGUAAGACUAAUACCCAAUGACGUCUCUAGAAGACAUCUGAAAGGGAUUAAAGAUUUAUCGGUGAUGGAUGGGGAUGCGUCUGAUUAGCUUGUUGGCGGGGUAACGGCCCACCAAGGCGACGAUCAGUAGGGGUUCUGAGAGGAAGGUCCCCCACAUUGGAACUGAGACACGGUCCAAACUCCUACGGGAGGCAGCAGUGAGGAAUAUUGGUCAAUGGACGAGAGUCUGAACCAGCCAAGUAGCGUGCAGGAAGACGGCCCUAUGGGUUGUAAACUGCUUUUAUAAGGGAAUAAAGUGAGUCUCGUGAGACUUUUUGCAUGUACCUUAUGAAUAAGGACCGGCUAAUUCCGUGCCAGCAGCCGCGGUAAUACGGAAGGUCCGGGCGUUAUCCGGAUUUAUUGGGUUUAAAGGGAGCGUAGGCCGGAGAUUAAGCGUGUUGUGAAAUGUAGACGCUCAACGUCUGCACUGCAGCGCGAACUGGUUUCCUUGAGUACGCACAAAGUGGGCGGAAUUCGUGGUGUAGCGGUGAAAUGCUUAGAUAUCACGAAGAACUCCGAUUGCGAAGGCAGCUCACUGGAGCGCAACUGACGCUGAAGCUCGAAAGUGCGGGUAUCGAACAGGAUUAGAUACCCUGGUAGUCCGCACGGUAAACGAUGGAUGCCCGCUGUUGGUCUGAAUAGGUCAGCGGCCAAGCGAAAGCAUUAAGCAUCCCACCUGGGGAGUACGCCGGCAACGGUGAAACUCAAAGGAAUUGACGGAAGGGCG
rnacentral:rRNA from 1 species